AUUGAACGCUAGCGGGAUGCCUUACACAUGCAAGUCGAACGAGUGGCGAACGGGUGAGUAAUGUAUCGGAACGUGCCCAGUAGCGGGGGAUAACUACUGGAAACGGUAGCUAAUACCGCAUACCAUCGGAUGUGCCCAGAUGGGAGUAGCUAGUAGGUGGGGUAACGGCUCCCCUAGGCGACGAUCCCUAGCUGGUCUGAGAGGAUGACCAGCCAACCUGGACCUGAGCCACGGUCCAGACUCCUACGGGAGGCCGAAGUGGUGAACAUUGCACAAUGGGCGCAGGCCUGAUGCAGCCCUGCCGCGUGUAUGAAGAAGGCCUUCGGGUUGUAAAGUACUUUCAGCGAGGAGGCGUUACUCGCAGAAGAAGCACCGGCUAACUCCGUGCCAGCAGCCGCGGUAAUAC
rnacentral:rRNA from 1 species